GGGCCGGUAGUUCAACGGUAGAACGCUGCUCUCGCUAAGCAGAGGUUGCGAGUUCAAUUCUCGUCCGGUCCA
rnacentral:tRNA from 1 species